UACGAAGGGGGCUAGCGUUGCUCGGAAUCACUGGGCGUAAAGGGUGCGUAGGCGGAUAUUUAAGUCGGGGGUGAAAUCCCGGGGCUCAACCCCGGAACUGCCUUCGAUACUGGGUAUCUUGAGUUCGGAAGAGGUGAGUGGAAUUGCGAGUGUAGAGGUGAAAUUCGUAGAUAUUCGCAGGAACACCAGUGGCGAAGGCGGCUCACUGGUCCGAUACUGACGCUGAGGUGCGAAAGCGUGGGGAGCAAACAGG
rnacentral:rRNA from 1 species